GAUGUUUGUUGUGCCACUGGAGAAACGAUUGUAGCGAGCGUUCUUGUUUGAGCUCAUAAUCUAGGCCAGCAUUUGUUAGUCAUGGGAAGUUUGCUCUAGCAGCAGCAACAACAGCGGCGGCGGCGGCCGGAGCGCCGGUGCCCGGGCCCGGCACAUCGCGACCCCGGGCCUGCUCCCCCGCUCGUCUAGCGGCUCCGCUGCCGCCCGGGCCGGAAGCCCUAC